GUCACCGUCGCAUCAGCCGUACGCUCUGCGCCGUGCUUUAUGCCUCUAUAGCUGCCGCCCGCCAAGACUGAAGACGUUAACCUCCAUAGUCCAAGAUAAGCUAGACUUUCACUGACCAAAACACUCUGGCUCUAUUUUAAUAUUUUAAUAAUUAAUAAAAGAGUAUAAGCGCAAUCAAAAUAUUCAGAGGAUAAUAGUUGCUUUGUGCAGUGAGUAGCCACUAUGGCUGGCAAGUUCAGAAAUGAAGAAAAUUUUGACGAUGAAGAAAAUGAUGACGAAAUUAACGAACCUCAUGCUUACGUUUAUAUUCCUGAUAAAAAUAAAGGUUCUGGAAAUGGCGAAAGAAGGACUGUGUCAGUUUCAAAAAUCAAAAAAUUUGACUUUCAGAAAUAUUUAGAAGAUCCAAAAUUUUAUCAAGAGAAAUUACUAAGAUUACAAAAAGAGCCAGGGGUUAAGGAUAAAAAAUCUUGUUAUGUUUUGUAUGCUGCAGCAACACAUGAUUUACUACAAUCGUACCUGAAUGCUAAAAAAAGACGUUUUUAUAUACCAAACUCUAAGACAAAAGAUGUUGAGUCUGAUACCUCCGUAGAGGGAGAUGUACAAGGAAAUAAUUUGAGUGAUAUUGAUGAGAAUCAUGAAGUGUUACCAGAAUUAAACACGGCAAAACUCCAAAGAAAGGUAUUAUGUAGAAUCAAAAGAUCUGUGCAGAAAACAGGACAUGAAACUGCAAACAAAAUAAUUAGUCAAUAUUAGAAUGAAUGCGAACCAGAAGAUCCUGAUAGAGUAAUGAUUUAACUUCGAGAGUGCCUGAAACUUAUAGCCCUACGCAUAGUAUUGAACAAUCGCUGCAUGAUCUUACGGAACCACCGCCAAAGCGACCUGCAUUGAGUAACAAAAAAAAACAAGAAGCAGCAUCAACUAAUGCAGCUACCAAUGCAUAUAAAAUGCAGGGUGAUUUUUUCAAGAAUAAAUAUGCAGAAACACUCAUUGAAAACGAGAAGUUGAAAGCAAUAAUAAAUCAAUUUGUACCCAAGGAAUCAUGUCGCCCAAUAGCAAAUCAUAAUAAUCUGUCAAAAUCAGAUAAUGAAGUAUUACGUAAAACAGUGUAUGAUAAAGUAUUUGAAAUAUCAAAAACACCCACAUACGUAACUGAUCCUACACAAGCUGCAAACGUUUCGGAGCCUGCAGUAGAUGAGGAUAUAGUCGUAUUGAAGAAAGGUGUAAAAUGUAAUGCUAACGCAUACAAAGAUGCGUUUAAGACAACAAAAUGUCAGACAUUUUUUACGUUGAUUAACACUGGAAUUUACGGGACUGAAGAAUUAGCAAAAAGAUGUGUCUGUAGAAAAAAACCAGCUGAUGAAAAUAUUAGAGUCUUAUCCCCUAUUAAAAAAAGUGUUGUAGAAGAUGAAUUCUAUAAGUUUUUAGUAGCCAAAGGUUAUACACAAGCCCAAAUUGACAUACAAAUGGAAACAUGCUCAAGCUAUCAACAUAAUGCUAUAACAGCAGCCAGGAAAAAAUUAUCUAGGGCAAAACCACCUAUUAUUCCAAGUAGAACCAUUUUUCCUCCAGGAACUGAAACUGCAACCAGCAGUUUUCAAUCAUAUCAUUCACAUCCUCGUGAUCCGUUACUCAAUUCUUUUAAUGAAAAUGUAGGUGCUACUGAAAAGAGUCAGUAUGGAGGAUCAGAUGAUUAAUAGCAAAAUAUCAGGAGCAAGUCGUUCUACUGUAAACCUACAGCAUCAGCUGAAUGAGCAAGAAGAUUUUGAUUAGUUUGAAAAUGAUAGCGAGUAAUAAUGAAAAGUUUAAAAGAAUCCUAAAAUUAUUUUUGCUAAAGUUAAUUAGUAUUGAUUUUAAAUCGGUUGUAAAGAACGUUAAUAUUGUACGUUCUGAAGUCACUGAAAUUAAGUAUUUCAUUGAAUAUAUUGUGUUCCUCAUUCUUAGUAUUUUUUUUUAAUUUAUAGAACCAAAGAUUAAGACAAAGACGUUAUAGGUUAUUUUACCUAGAAAACUAGUGUUCAUAUAGAAUUGUUGGAUUAGUUCCUACAUAGAGAACGUUGGACUUCAAAAGUUGAAUCAGAAAAAAAAUGCGUGUAUCGUUUUAUUUAGUAAAUUGUUUUUUCAUUCGCAUUAUUAAUGGAAUGUUUAUUUUUUCACUGAAACGCAAGUAGUUGUUUCUAUAUAUUAUACCAAGUACGUUAUGUAUUGAAUUAAAGAAAAUAAAUAUUUUUUUUCAAU